ensembl:ncRNA C14F5.7 ncRNA
GAGAAUGAAAAUUCAUUGAAUAGAGCCCACGUUUUUUAUUUGCUCACUUGAAAGAUGGGGAUCUAAGCUCCCGCUGUCUAGAACGCCCGGAGGUGGGAGUAACCCAGAGUUGAAAAAGUUUGUCAAAAACAAGUUGACAG